AUGACAAUCAAAAUUUCUAAGUUCUUCAAAAACCUGCAGUUCCUAGAUAAAACAAAGGAAUCAGGUCCAACUGUCAGAUCCAUAAAGCACACUGUCAAUAUGAAGUUUAUUCUUGUUCCUGUUAUAUUCCUGUUAUGUUUAUCAGGGGGUCACUGUGAUGUGCAACUUGUUCAGUCAGAACCAGUGGCAAUAAUCCCGGGAGGGUCUCACAAACUGUCCUGCACAGCCUCUGGCUUCACAUUCAGUAGCUACUCUAUAAACUGGGUUAGAAAGGCUCCUGGGAAAGGAUUACAGUGGGUGUCUUAUAUAAGGCAUGAUGGGGGUACCACAAACUAUGCUGAUUCAGUUAAAGGAAGAUUCACCAUCUCCAGAGACUCUAAAACCAACAAGUUAUAUCUGCAAAUGAACAAUUUACACACUGAAGACACUGCCGUGUAUUACUGUGCUAGAGACACACAGUGA